GUCAAAUAGUCCUUUGAUAAGCCUGCUGUCCAGCUGUGCCAACAAAGAUCAAACUGGUGGGGAGUAGAGAUAAUAUCAUAUGACUUUUGAAUGCAAGUCAAAGGAAACACUUGUGCUUGCUCUGUGGAAACCCAGCUACACAUCAUACAGAGAGUAACAACUGGCAGGCCAAUACGAAUGUGCCAUUAUGGAAGAAGACUCUCCUGCAUCCUGAGAACCAUCAGAUUAAUUUGUAGGUUCGCUUGUGAUUUCAAUCAAAAUUCUACCCAUCCUUUAAUAAGAAAAAUGCAUCAGUGUUUGCCUGAACUCUGGGAAGAGAAAAGUACCCUGCAAAGGAGCCAGGGAAAGGUUUUGGUGGUCUGGUAAUUCCAUGCCAAUCCUUUGGGCCUACUGCAUCUUGAGAAGAUGUACAUCAUCGAUUUCUCUUCCACGAAUUUUUGUAUGGUAAUUGGGAAGACAGCAUACCUUUCUAACAAAUUUAGCAUCACAUCCAGUUUUUACAAUGUAUUUCUACAAAUGUGAACACAAAAUGCCUUGUAAAUCCUUUAUUUCUGAAUAUGUAGCUACUUAUUAUACUACGAUUUCUUUCUUUUGAUUGUUCUUAUUCAGG
rnacentral:lncRNA from 1 species